GGAAUAUUGGGCAAUGGAGGCAACUCUGACCCAGCCAUGCCGCGUGCAGGAUGAAGGCCUUCUGGGUUGUAAACUGCUUUUAUCUGGGAAGAAAACACAUAUGCGUAGGAAACUGACGGUACCAGAUGAAUAAGCACCGGCUAACUCCGUGCCAGCAGCCGCGGUAAUACGGAGGGUGCAAGCGUUGUCCGGAUGUAUUGGGUUUAAAGGGUGCGUAGGCGGCCCGGUAAGUCAGUGGUGAAAGCCUCCAGCACAACUGGAAAACUGCCAUUGAUACUGCCGGGCUUGAGUACAGACGAGGUUGGCGGAAUUGAUUGUGUAGCGGUGAAAUGCAUAGAUACAAUCAAGAACUCCGAUUGCGUAGGCAGCUAACGAGGCUGUAACUGACGCUGAGGCACGAAAGCGUGGGGAGCGA
rnacentral:rRNA from 1 species